rnacentral:rRNA from 1 species
UACGAAGGGGGCUAGCGUUGUUCGGAAUCACUGGGCGUAAAGGGCGCGUAGGCGGCUUUGUAAGUCGGGGGUGAAAGCCUGUGGCUCAACCACAGAAUUGCCUUCGAUACUGCAUGGCUUGAGACCGGAAGAGGUAAGUGGAACUGCGAGUGUAGAGGUGAAAUUCGUAGAUAUUCGCAAGAACACCAGUGGCGAAGGCGGCUUACUGGUCCGGUUCUGACGCUGAGGCGCGAAAGCCAGGGGAGCAAACGGG